GUCUAAGGCCAUACCACCCUGAGAAUGCCCGAUCUCAUCUGAUCUCGAAAGCUAAGCAGGGUUGGGCCUGGUUAGUACUUGGAUGGGAGACCUCCUGGGAAUACCAGGUGCUGUAAGCU